rnacentral:misc_RNA from 1 species
AAUCUUUGAACUUUUCUUUAACAUUUCACUAAAACAUAGACCCUAACAGGGCUUUCAUCUGUUAAUUAUGCUCAAUUUGGCAGUCAAGUCAUACUUUAAGGCAUUCAUACUAUCUAUAACUUAUUUCUUUUUCAAUUGUGCUUUUCAGUAUGUAGGCACAUCAUUACACUAUACUUCUCUUUAUUAACAUUGAAAACUUUCAUUUUGCAUAACAUUACUUCUGUUGGUAUUGAACCUUGAACCUGGUCUUACAUUUUUUUUUAAUUUUUUUCAUUCUAAGGAUUAGCUACAAACAUCAUCUUUCUUUUAUUUCAU